UUUAAAUUGAGAGUUUGAUCCUGGCUCAGGACGAACGCUGGCGGCGUGCCUAACACAUGCAAGUCGAGCGAUGAAACUUCCUUCGGGGAGUGGAUUAGCGGCGGACGGGUGAGUAACACGUGGGUAACCUGCCUCAAAGAGGGGGAUAGCCUC
rnacentral:rRNA from 1 species